GGAGAGGUCGCAUAGCUGGCCUAGUGCGCUCGCUUGGAAAGCGAGUAUACCGAGAGGUAUCGCGGGUUCGAAUCCCGCCCUCUCCG
rnacentral:tRNA from 1 species